AGAAUCACAGAAUCACAGAAUUAUGGAAUCACAGAGUCAGAAUUACUGAAUCAUGGAAUCACAGAGUCACAGAAUCACAGAAUCAUGGAAUUUCAGGUUCACAGAAUCAUGGAACCACAGAAUCAUGGAAUUACAGAUUCACAGAUUCACAGAAUCAUGGAAUUGCAGAUUCACAGAAUUAGAGAAUAACAGAACCACAGAAUCAUGGAAUUGCAGAUUCAUGGAAUCACUGACUUCCAGAAUCCCAGAAUCAGAGAAUCACAGAAUUGCAGAUUCACAGAAUUACAGGAUCAUGGAAUUUCAGAUUCACAGAAUCAUGGAAUUACAGAAUCCCAGAAUCAGAGAAUCAGAGAAUCAUGGAAUCAGAGAAUCGUGGCAUUACAAACUCGUAAAAUCACCAAGUCACGGAGUCCCACAGCCCCAGAACCUCAGACUCCCGCAGCCCCAGCAUCCCGGAUCAGGGAAUUGUCCGAAGCCCAGGAUGGCUGAGGCUGGGAGGGACCGCCCUGGGUCACUGCUGCCACCUCCCUGCUCCAGCAGGGCCAUCCCAGAGCACCGGCAGCUGGGAUUUCCCCGCUGAGGAGGCUCCGCUCCCUCUCUGGACAACCAGUGCUGGGGAAAGUUCUUCCUCAUGUCCAGCUGGAACUUGCUGGGAUCAAUCCCUGCCCGUUCCUCUGGUGCUGGAUCCCCCUGGAGCAGAGCCUGGGCUCCAAUGCCGGCCUCUGAGAUCCAGAACACCGAAUUUCAUCUAAAAUGAAAUUUAUGGCCAUGUUUUCAUGGUGAUACGUGAAAACAACUGUGAAAUGAAAAAGCUGAAAGUGUGAGUGUGUAGAUUAAAGAGCUUUCUUAAGUCACUGGGUGAAAAAAUUCAAAGUUAAUUUAGAAAGCAGAAGACAAGAUAGAAAAUUUAAAGUAUUGUCUCUUUCCUUUCUUCUUCUUCAUUUUCUUCUUCUAGAAGUUGUUGGGUAGUAGUAAUUAAUUAAUUAGAAAAUAUCAUAGUGCAACACACAGGUGAUGAGUCAUUAAGAAAAAUAAUUUAUGUGUCUAUUGUUAAUUGGAUAAAUUAAGUAUAAAGAUGAAAAAGCUGCAGAGUUUGGAGCCAUUUGUUGCCAUCAGAGCCCAAAAUGUGCCAGGUUGGAGUGAUUUGAAUUUGUGUAGAAAGUCUGGAAAGAUCUACCAAGUCUAAUUGGGAAAAGGUUUGUUGGGAAAAGGUUUAAUGGGAAAAGGUUUAUCUGGAAAAGUUUAAUGGAAAAAGGUUUGUUGGGAAAAGGUUUAUUAGGAAAAGGUUUAUUUGGAACAAGUUUAUCUGGAAAAUGUUUAUGGAGAAAAGGUUUGUUGGGAAAAGGUUUAUCUGGAAAAGGUUUAUCGGGAAAAGGUUUAAUGGGCAAAGCUUUAUUGGAAAAGGUUUAUCUGGAAAAGGUUUAUCUGGAAAAGGUUUAUCUGGAAAAGGUUUAAUGGGCAAAGGUUUAUAUGGAAAAGGUUUAUUGGGAAAAGGUUUAUUGGGAAAAGGUUUGUUAGGAAAAGGUUUGUUAGGAAAAGUUUUAAUGGGAAAAGGUUGAUAUGGAAAAGGUUUAUCGGGA
ensembl:lncRNA